CAAGAACUUCAGCUGAUAUUGCUCCUCCAUAUAGACACAACCAAGGGGAUGUGCUUUCGAAUGGACCCAAGAAUCCACCAAUCUGCUCCCAAGGGGACAUCUUCAUUUGUAUGGGACAAACAUCACAGUAAUUCAUGAAGUUUAAAGUUUGAAGCCUGAUCCUCAAUCUGGAUUAGAAUGUCUGCUGAGACAGGGUACAAAGGUGGAUAUUCAUCAAAAGCUGACUAAAGUUCAUUGCAUCUAUGAUUUCUGAUAAAUGCC
rnacentral:lncRNA from 1 species